UACGGAGGAUGCGAGCGUUAUCCGGAUUUAUUGGGUUUAAAGGGUGCGUAGGCGGCGAGUUAAGUCAGCGGUAAAAGCCCGGGGCUCAACCCCGUCUCGCCGUUGAAACUGGCUUGCUUGAGUUGGAGAGAAGUAGGCGGAAUGCGCGGUGUAGCGGUGAAAUGCUUAGAUAUCGCGCAGAACUCCGAUUGCGAAGGCAGCCUACCGGCUCCAGACUGACGCUGAGGCACGAAAGCGUGGGGAUCGAACAGG
rnacentral:rRNA from 1 species